rnacentral:hammerhead_ribozyme from 1 species
AUCCUACUGACGAGUCUCAAACAGGACGAAACGUGAGUCUCAGAU